GUGGCGAACGGGUGAGUAAUACAUCGGAACGUGCCCGAUCGUGGGGGAUAACGAGGCGAAAGCUNUGCUAAUACCGCAUACGAUCUACGGAUGAAAGCGGGGGAUCUUNNGACCUCGCGCGGACGGAGCGGCCGAUGGCAGAUUAGGUAGUUGGUGGGAUAAAAGCUUACCAAGCCGACGAUCUGUAGCUGGUCUGAGAGGAUGAUCAGCCACACUGGGACUGAGACACGGCCCAGACUCCUACGGGAGGCAGCAGUGGGGAAUUUUGGACAAUGGGNGAAAGCCUGAUCCAGCCAUGCCGCGUGCAGGAUGAAGGCCUUCGGGUUGUAAACUGCUUUUGUACGGAACGAAAA
rnacentral:rRNA from 1 species